rnacentral:rRNA from 1 species
CCUACGGGAGGCAGCAGUGGGGAAUAUUGGGCAAUGGAGGAAACUCUGACCCAGCAACGCCGCGUGAAUGAUGAAGGUCUUCGGAUUGUAAAGUUCUUUUCUCAGGGAAGAAGAAAGUGACGGUACCUUAGGAAUAAGCCUCGGCUAACUACGUGCCAGCAGCCGCGGUAAUCCGUAGGGGGCGAGCGUUAUCCGGAAUGACUGGGCGUAAAGGGUGCGGAGGUGGUUUGGCAAGUUAGUGGCGUAACGCCAAGGCUCAACCUUGGAACUGCUACUAAAACUGUUGAACUUGAGUGCAGGAGAGGCAAGCGGAAUUCCUAGUGUAGCGGUGAAAUGCGUAGAUAUUAGGAGGAACACCAGUGGCGAAGGCGGGUUGCUGGACUGUAACUGACGCUGAGGCACGAAAGCGUGGGGAGCAAACAGGAUUAGAUACCCUUGUAGUC